UACGAAGGGGGCUAGCGUUGCUCGGAUUUACUGGGCGUGAAGGGCGCGUAGGCGGACAGUUAAGUUGGGGGUGAAAGCCCGGGGCUCAACCUCGGAAUUGCCUUCAAUACUGGCUGUCUUGAGUGUGAGAGAGGUGUGUGGAACUCCGAGUGUAGAGGUGAAAUUCGUAGAUAUUCGGAAGAACACCAGUGGCGAAGGCGACACACUGGCUCACUGCUGACGCUGAGGCGCGAAAGCGUGGGGAGCAAACAGG
rnacentral:rRNA from 1 species